GUUAUGUUACGCUCCGCUCUUUUCAAUGCACAUGUAAGCAAAUGUCCCAAAAAAACAAACGAAAAUGAUAUCGUCAUUGAUUUAGUGUUGCGCUACAGUUUUUAGGAAUAUAUAUUAGUGUGAAUGGCGAAAAUGUUUGAUUGCAACUUUGCAAGGCUUGCCCAGCCACCGUUACCUUUGCGGGUCUCUCAGGUGCAGACAGUUUUCAGACAGGAAUUCAGCAGUCUUUUGUCAGGCUGAUAUAGUUGUGUAUGGCAGUCCAGACGGCAGCAUCAAGCUUGGCUUUGUAUUUGUAUCCAUUCCAUGCAGUCACUAAAAGAGAGACAACCAGCAGAAUUGUGUCGAGACUUGUCUUCCACCUACACCUCACCAGAACACAACGCAGAAAGGAACAAGUGCGGGUGCCGAGCACUUUCAGGCCUGCCUCCUUGAAGGGUUGGUUGGGUGGAAUGAGGACCGUGCUGAAGCAGAGGGGGGCGCGCGCAGAAGCAGACCCUGCACUGCUAUGAUGGUGUAGCCCAGCACGCCAUCAUUGAGCUGAGCCAGAAGCUCCUGGGCUGCAGUCUUGUGAAGGAUCACACAAGGCCUGCAAAGUACACUGGGGAACUCAUUGGGGUCGAGUAUCUCUUCUCCCAGACCCAUGGUGACCAGAGGUUGGAGUCCAACCUCGGUAAGGACCCAGACGGGACACCUACUCUAUUUGAGGGAGAGGAGGAUGACCCCACCAUGUCCUUGCCCGACCUCGAUGACCGUCUCCCACUAGUCUCUCCACUCAGGAAGGCCCCUCCACCGCCCACUCAACCCAUCCCAGGUACCUGUCGUCACACCCCCUGAUGACACUGCACCAGCUGCCAGUCAGGUCCCGGAAGAUGAUGAGAACAUAGGACCUGAUGGGGUUAGUGGAUACCAGCACGUGGUCCUCCUGGCCACUAGUCAGCCACUGUCACCUCCACCCAGUCUGUCUUCUACCUCCCUCCCUAUAACGCCAGUCUUCCAAGACCUACCCAAGGUCUCCAGGACCACCAAAUGAAUGAGGAGGAAGAAGCUGGAGUCUGGCAUUAAAGUCAGAGCGCACAAGCCAUACGAAGGCUAUAAGUGCUCUAAAUGUGGCAAGCCUAAAACUUCUGAGUUUGGACACAGUAUGUAUGGUUCUGUGAGAUUCUGUGCCGCUAUCUCUGGUGGCCAAACUAUGGAGGAGUGGCUGGCACUCAUGUGGGCCCAGCAUGGUGCUAUAGCCAAGGCCAGUAAAAUCUGACUGACUCGUGUUACAUUAUAAAGUAGUUUUUGUAAAAAAUGUACGACAUUCAUUGUUAAUCUCUUGUACAUUUAGCUAUUUUAAAAUCACCUUAACUUGUACAGUCGGUGUAGGGGACAUUAUGCUGGGUUGCUUCACACAUGACAUUCCCUGUGAAAUAAAUAAAUGAA